GAGAAUAUUGAUCCUCAUUCUGCAUAAGAAAAUUCCGGUACAUUUCAUGCCGUGUCGGUGUCAGCAAGGUACACCAAAAGUAGUAAACAGGGUGGCAAAAAAGAGGAGGAUUUAGCAAUUUGUUGAUUUUUCCUUCUUUCUUUCUUUCUUGUCAACUUCAAAACCCCAUCGGCUCUCUUUCAAGGUUCCCCUUUCUUUCUCUAUUAACGCCUCUCUCUGAGUUCUUGUUGAUAUUUCCAAAGACCCCAUUUUUAACACUGCUCACAAUAUGGCUGGCGAAUCCAUUUCAGGCAAUUUAAAAGACCUUUCCUUGAAUAGAAAUGGUGCGGUGUCAAAGAAGUCUCAUUUAGUUGUUUGCUUUGGGGAGAUGCUCAUUGACUUCAUCCCAACUGUUGCUGGAGUUUCACUUGCGGAAGCUCCUGCCUUUGAAAAAGCUCCCGGUGGUGCACCUGCUAAUGUUGCUGUGUGCAUCUCAAAGUUAGGGGGUUCAUCUGCUUUUAUUGGAAAGGUUGGUGACGAUGAGUUCGGCCGUAUGUUGGCUGACAUUUUGAAGCAAAACAAUGUUGACAAUUCCGGCAUGCGGUUUGAUCAUGAUGCAAGGACUGCACUGGCCUUCAUUACACUCACAGCUGAAGGUGAGCGGGAGUUCGUGUUUUUCCGUAAUCCUAGUGCUGAUAUGCUUC
rnacentral:misc_RNA from 1 species